rnacentral:rRNA from 1 species
CCUACGGGAGGCAGCAGUGGGGAAUAUUGCACAAUGGGGGAAACCCUGAUGCAGCGACGCCGCGUGAGUGAAGAAGUCUCUCGGUAUGUAAAGCUCUAUUAGCAGGGAAGAAAAUGACGGUACUUGAUUAUGAAGCCCCGGCUAACUACGUGCCAGCAGCCGCGGGAAUACGUAGGGGGCAAGCGUUAUUCGGAUUUACUGGUUGUAAAGGGAGCGUAGACGGCAGCACAGGACUGGAGUGAAAUGCCGGGGCUUAACCCCGGAACGGCUUUGGAAACUGUGCAGCUAGAGUGCAGGAGAGGAAGGUGGAAUUCCUGGUGUAGCGGUGAAAUGCGUAGAUAUUAGGAGGAACACCAGUGGCGAAGGCGGCUUUCUGGACUGUAACUGACGUUGAGGCGCGAAAGCGUGGGGAGCAAACAGGAUUAGAUACCCGAGUAGUC